rnacentral:rRNA from 1 species
AAGUGUAGUGAUACAUUGAGCUAACCCAUACUAAUUGCCCGAGGGGCUUAACUAUACAACGCUCAAG